rnacentral:rRNA from 1 species
UAACAAGGAUUCCCCUAGUAACUGCGAGUGAAGCGGGAAAAGCUCAAAUUUAAAAUCUGGCGGUCUUUGGCCGUCCGAGUUGUAAUCUAGAGAAGUGAUGCCCGUGCUGGACCGUGUAUAAGUCUCCUGGGAUGGGGCGUCAUAGAGGGUGAGAAUCCCGUCUUUGACACGGACUACCAGUGCAUUGUGGUAUGCUCUCAAAGAGUCGAGUUGUUUGGGAAUGCAGCUCAAAAUGGGUGGUAAAUUCCAUCUAAAGCUAAAUAUUGGCGAGAGACCGAUAGCGAACAAGUACCGUGAGGGAAAGAUGAAAAGAACUUUGGAAAGAGAGUUAAACAGUACGUGAAAUUGCUGAAAGGGAAACGCUUGAAGUCAGUCGCGUUGGCCGGGAAUCAGCCUUGCUUUUGCAUGGUGUACUUUCUGGUUGACGGGUCAGCAUCAAUUUUGAUCACUGGAAAAGGCUCAAGGGAAUGUGGCAGCUUCGGCUGUGUUAUAGCCCCUGUUCACAUACAGUGGUUGGGAUUGAGGAACUCAGCACGCCGCAAGGCCGGGUUUCGACCACGUUCGUGCUUAGGAUGCUGGCAUAAUGGCUUUAAGCGACCCGUCUUGAAACACGGACCAAGGAGUCUAACAUGCCUGCGAGUAUUUGGGUGGAAAACCCAGGUGCGCAAUGAAAGUGAAAGUUGAGAUCCCUGUCGUGGGGAGCAUCGACGCCCGGACCAGAACUUUUGGGACGGAUCCGCGGUGGAGCAUGUAUGUUGGGACCCGAAAGAUGGUGAACUAUGCCUGAAUAGGGUGAAGCCAGAGGAAACUCUGGUGGAGGCUCGUAGCGAUUCUGACGUGCAAAUCGAUCGUCAAAUUUGGGUAUAGG